AGUGAACGCUGGCGGUAGGCCUAACACAUGCAAGUCGAACGGCAGCAUAGUAAGAGCUUGCUCUUACGGGUGGCGAGUGGCGGACGGGUGAGGAAUACAUCAGAAUCUACUUUUUUGUGGGGGAUAACGUAGGGAAACUUACGCUAAUACCGCAUACGACCUACGGGUGAAAGCAGGGGAUCUUCGGACUUUGCGCGAUUGAAUGAGCUGAUGUCGGAUUAGCUAGUUGGCGGGGUAAAGGCCCACUAAGGCGACGAUCCGUUGCUGGUCUGAGAGGAUGAUCAGCCACACUGGAACUGAGACACGAUCCAGACUCCGACGGGAGGCAGCGGUGGGGAAGAUUGGACAAAGGGCGCAAUCCUGAACCAGCCAUACCGGGUGGGUGAAGAAGGCCUGCGGGUUGUAAAGCCCUUUUGUUGGGAAAGAAAAGCAGCAGGUGAAUACCCGGCUGUUCUGACGGUACCCAAAGAAUAAGCACCGGCUAACUUCGUG
rnacentral:rRNA from 1 species